UCUUCAUGAUGAUAUCAAGGCAAAUGUGAUCCUACCAGCAGGCUGCUCCAGCAAACUGUUUCCUGUAUUCUGGUCUGUAAUCUUGGUGAACAACGCAAAGCAGUGCAUGUUCACUGUAAGGGCAGACCGACAGCAUAUCCCAUUCCUUCCCGCUUCCGCUCCAGAGGGGCUGUCCGCUUCUUUGCAAAGUAGGCCAUCUGGCGGACCAGGGAUAUGGGUACAGGACAAGCCUAGUGUGUCCAGGUAACAGGUUGCUGUGUGUGGCCAAAAUUGUAGCUGUUGGGACAUUGUGAGCACAAGUCUUUGGUAAUCUGAAAGCA